GACGAACGCUGGCGGCGUGCUUAACACAUGCAAGUCGAACGGAAAGGCCCCCUUGUGGGGUACUCGAGUGGCGAACGGGUGAGUAACACGUGAGUAACCUACCCUUGACUUUGGGAUAACUUCAGGAAACUGGGGCUAAUACCGGAUAGGAGCUCCUGCUGCAUGGUGGGGGUUGGAAAGUUUCGGCGGUUGGGGAUGGACUCGCGGCUUAUCAGCUUGUUGGUGGGGUAGUGGCUCACCAAGGCUUUGACGGGUAGCCGGCCUGAGAGGGUGACCGGGCACAUUGGGACUGAGAUACGGCCCAGACUCCUACGGGAGGCAGCAGUGGGGAAUAUUGCACAAUGGGCGGAAGCCUGAUGCAGCAACGCCGCGUGCGGGAUGACGGCCUUCGGGUUGUAAACCGCUUUCGCCUGUGACGAAGCGUGAGUGACGGUAAUGGGUAAAGAAGCACCGGCUAACUACGUG
rnacentral:rRNA from 1 species